UACAGAGGGUGCAAGCGUUAAUCGGAAUUACUGGGCGUAAAGCGUGCGUAGACGGUUAUUUAAGUCAGGUGUGAAAGCCCCGGGCUCAACCUGGGAAUUGCAUUUGAGACUGAAUAGCUAGGGUGCGGAAGAGGGAAGCGGAAUUUCCGGUGUAGCGGUGAAAUGCGUAGAUAUCUGGAGGAAUACCGGUGGCGAAGGCGGCAUCCUGGACCGACAUUGACGCUGAGGAGCGAAAGCUAGGGGAGCAAACGGG
rnacentral:rRNA from 1 species